rnacentral:rRNA from 1 species
AAGUCGAACGGUGAAGCCCAGCUUGCUGGGUGGAUCAGUGGCGAACGGGUGAGUAACACGUGAGCAACCUGCCCCUGACUCUGGGAUAAGCGCUGGAAACGGCGUCUAAUACUGGAUAUGUGACGUGACCGCAUGGUCUGCGUCUGGAAAGAAUUUCGGUUGGGGAUGGGCUCGCGGCCUAUCAGCUUGUUGGUGAGGUAAUGGCUCACCAAGGCGUCGACGGGUAGCCGGCCUGAGAGGGUGACCGGCCACACUGGGACUGAGACACGGCCCAGACUCCUACGGGAGGCAGCAGUGGGGAAUAUUGCACAAUGGGCGCAAGCCUGAUGCAGCAACGCCGCGUGAGGGACGACGGCCUUCGGGUUGUAAACCUCUUUUAGCAGGGAAGAAGCGAAAGUGACGGUACCUGCAGAAAAAGCGCCGGCUAACUACGUGCCAGCAGCCGCGGUAAUACGUAGGGCGCAAGCGUUAUCCGGAAUUAUUGGGCGUAAAGAGCUCGUAGGCGGUUUGUCGCGUCUGCUGUGAAAUCCGGAGGCUCAACCUCCGGCCUGCAGUGGGUACGGGCAGACUAGAGUGCGGUAGGGGAGAUUGGAAUUCCUGGUGUAGCGGUGGAAUGCGCAGAUAUCAGGAGGAACACCGAUGGCGAAGGCAGAUCUCUGGGCCGUAACUGACGCUGAGGAGCGAAAGGGUGGGGAGCAAACAGGCUUAGAUACCCUGGUAGUCCACCCCGUAAACGUUGGGAACUAGUUGUGGGGUCCAUUCCACGGAUUCCGUGACGCAGCUAACGCAUUAAGUUCCCCGCCUGGGGAGUACGGCCGCAAGGCUAAAACUCAAAGGAAUUGACGGGGACCCGCACAAGCGGCGGAGCAUGCGGAUUAAUUCGAUGCAACGCGAAGAACCUUACCAAGGCUUGACAUAUACGAGAACGGGCCAGAAAUGGUCAACUCUUUGGACACUCGUAAACAGGUGGGUGCAUGGUUGUCGUCAGCUCGUGUCG